AACGCGAAGAACCUUACCUGGUCUUGACAUCCACAGAACUUGGCAGAGAUGCCUUGGUGCCUUCGGGAACUGUGAGACAGGUGCUGCAUGGCUGUCGUCAGCUCGUGUUGUGAAAUGUUGGGUUAAGUCCCGCAACGAGCGCAACCCUUAUCCUUUGUUGCCAGCGGUCCGGCCGGGAACUCAAAGGAGACUGCCAGUGAUAAACUGGAGGAAGGUGGGGAUGACGUCAAGUCAUCAUGGCCCUUACGACCAGGGCUACACACGUGCUACAAUGGCGCAUACAAAGAGAAGCGACCUCGCGAGAGCAAGCGGACCUCAUAAAGUGCGUCGUAGUCCGGAUUGGAGUCUGCAACUCGACUCCAUGAAGUCGGAAUCG
rnacentral:rRNA from 1 species